rnacentral:tRNA from 1 species
GCGUGGAUUGGCUCAAUGAUUAGAGCGUAGGUCUCGUAACCGAAAGGUUGCAGGAUCGAAGCCCGCUAGAUUCU